CGUUAAUAGAACAUCCAUUUAAACUUAUUAGAGCUUCUCAUUGCUUAAGCAACUUUGAAAAGACUUUCUAUUAAUGUUACUGGAAUAAUGUUUGUUCGUAACUUUGAGAGAACCCUGCUCUGAGAUCGUUCCCUGUUAGCUGGGUAGUUGCAAUGGAAACAUUUAACAACUACUGUGUGCAAACAAAGUUUAUCUGAAAUUACAUGUAGGCUAAUAGUUUUACUUAGCAAGUUGGAUUUGGGCAUUUAUGUAGCCUAUUGUCAUGGCUACAGGUCCUGUUUGGAGUACAAUGCAACACAAGGCUUUCUCUCCAUUUAUUUAGUGAGGUGAUAAGUGUCUCACCAUGCCAGAGUUUCUAUCUUUAGCGAGGGGAGCGCACGUCCCGUGGGAAGAGGCCACAAUGUACAUUCGCUAAAGAACAGACACAUCCCGCCUGUCACACGGUGAUAGUGCUGCCACCCCGUCAUAAAACUCUGACUCGCGCUCCUGUUUUCUCUCUUGUCGGCUGUCAGCCUCAGAUGGUGUCACAGCCUGUCGUAAACCUUUUCUUGCUCUUUAUCUCCCCAUCUAUACCUCCUUCUCAUUUGUCUUUGUGUGUCGUGUCACCCGCCGUCUCUAACCCUCUUCUGAUUCCCAGAAAGAGCCCUGCGAGGGCCCUGAGCAUCGGGCCUCUCUGAUGAGGUUAUCAGGGUUGGUGAAAGGGCCCCAGCGCCGCGACCCCUGGAGUGAGAACAUAUGUCUGCACUUCAUACCAGCACUGAUAACACGCGUGCCAGAAUAUCAAAGAAACUUGAGGAUGAACACUUCAAAUGUGAAUCAGGAAGAAACAUCAACCAUCCAAAACUACCAUCCAAAAUGCCUUAGCAACACCCUGGCAACCAUUACAGUAACCCUGCAUUGUGACAGCAAUUUGUGAAAAUACACAGCGGCUGGAGUCGGGGGUUCCCUGAGAGUGAGGAGGCAGAGAGCUCGGCGGGGGAGAGACGGCCGGACCUUCACAUCCUCGGGCUCACUCAA
ensembl:lncRNA